rnacentral:miRNA from 1 species
AUCACCUGGGGAUCUUGUUAAAACACAAUCUGAUUCAUUAAGUCUGGGGUGAGGGUUGAGAUUCUGCAUUUCUAACAAGUUCUCGGGGGAUGC